CCAUCAGCACCUGGAACCCGUACUCGUCCAGACUGUUCACGCCUUUCCAGAACAGCUUGUCAAUCUGCCCGUUGGCUCGCAGCAGGUAGCUCCGGAUCUGCAUGGGACUCACCCUCUCACUAAAUGAAACAACCUGGUUGAUGAUGUUGCAAGCAUCGAUGUAGUAUGCCGAUGGAUUUCACUACAACGCCACCUUCCAUAGCGUUUUCAUUUCUAUAUCACCAG